rnacentral:rRNA from 1 species
CAGUAGCCGCGGGAAUGCGGAGGGAGCUAGCGUUGUUCGGAGUUACUGGGCGUAAAGCGCACGUAGGCGGCUUUGUAAGUUAGAGGUGAAAGCCUGGAGCUCAACUCCAGAAUUGCCUUUAAGACUGCAUCGCUUGAAUCCAGGAGAGGUGAGUGGAAUUCCGAGUGUAGAGGUGAAAUUCGUAGAUAUUCGGAAGAACACCAGUGGCGAAGGCGGCUCACUGGACUGGUAUUGACGCUGAGGUGCGAAAGCGUGGGGAGCAAACAGGAUUAGAUACCCCUGUAGUCCCUGUCUCUUAUAC